rnacentral:rRNA from 1 species
UACCGCGAAGAACCUUACCUACUCUUGACAUCUACAGAAUCCUGCGGAGACGCGGGAGUGCCUUCGGGAACUGUAAGACAGGUGCUGCAUGGCUGUCGUCAGCUCGUGUUGUGAAAUGUUGGGUUAAGUCCCGCAACGAGCGCAACCCUUAUCCUUGUUUGCCAGCGAGUAAUGUCGGGAACUCCAGGGAGACUGCCGGUGAUAAACCGGAGGAAGGUGGGGACGACGUCAAGUCAUCAUGGCCCUUACGAGUAGGGCUACACACGUGCUACAAUGGCGCAUACAGAGGGCAGCGAACUUGCGAGAGUAAGCGAAUCCCAAAAAGUGCGUCGUAGUCCGGAUUGGAGUCUGCAACUCGACUCCAUGAAGUCGGAAUCGCUAGUAAUCGKAAU